rnacentral:rRNA from 1 species
CCUACGGGAGGCAGCAGUGGGGAAUAUUGGACAAUGGGCGAAAGCCUGAUCCAGCAAUGCCGCGUGAGUGAUGAAGGCCUUCGGGUCGUAAAGCUCUUUUACCAGGGAUGAUAAUGACAGUACCUGGAGAAUAAGCUCCGGCUAACUCCGUGCCAGCAGCCGCGGUAAUACGGAGGGAGCUAGCGUUGUUCGGAAUUACUGGGCGUAAAGAGUACGUAGGCGGUUAUUCAAGUCAGAGGUGAAAGCCCGGGGCUCAACCCCGGAACUGCCUUUGAAACUAGAUAACUAGAGUCUUGGAGAGGUUAGUGGAAUUCCGAGUGUAGAGGUGAAAUUCGUAGAUAUUCGGAAGAACACCAGUGGCGAAGGCGACUAACUGGACAAGUACUGACGCUGAGGUACGAAAGCGUGGGGAGCAAACAGGAUUAGAUACCCUGGUAGUCCACGCCGUAAACGAUGAUAACUAGUUGUUCGGUCACUUGGUGACUGAGUGACGCAGCUAACGCAUUAAGUUAUCCGCCUGGGGAGUACGGUCGCAAGNUUAAAACCACAAGAUGACGNNGAGNGNGCGAGACGACGACGAGGAGAG